AUUACCGAUUGGGUGUAUAGGUGAACCUUCUCGAUAGCCGCAAGGCUAGAAAUUAAGUAAACCUUUGCACCUAGAGGAAAUAAAAGUCGUAACAAGGUU
rnacentral:rRNA from 1 species